rnacentral:sRNA from 2 species
GCCGCUGUCUUUGGGGAGUAGCCGGCUUCUAUCUGCGUAGAAGCGCCUGCGUCAACAUUCUCGGUCGCAUAGACCGUGGCGCAGGUAGCCCUUGGGUUGGCAAGACCAUCGACACAUCACGCGACCGGUCGGGCGCGCGGUGUGUCGCGGUUUCCGCCCGACCUUGAGCGCC